AGUCUCACCCUGUUACCCAGACUGGAGUGAACUGGCACAAUCUCGGCUCACUGUCACCUCCACCUCCCAGGUUCAAGACAUUCUCCUGCCUCAGCCUCCUGAGUAGCUGGGAUUACAGAAGAGGAAAAUGAGCUGCAGAAGGAUCAAAUGACCUGCCUGAGGUGCCCUAUCUGUUGGCACAGGCCAGAGCACAUGGUGGAUGCAGGGGCACCCCCUUCCCUUCUCCUCCCCUCUGGCUCUUUGCUGACAGGAUUCUCUCUUGCCUUCUCUGAUUGUGCCUGUGCUACGUGCCACAUCCUUUCCCUCAAUGAAUUUCAGGCAGUGGAAGGGGCCGCAGAAGUUCCUUGACUCAUGAGGCGAGGCAUUCAGCGGCCUUGUGACACCUCCCGGGAUCUGCAGUCAUUGGGCUGCACUUGCCAAUAGCAACAUCUGGCAAAAAUAGCUAAGAAGCAGAGCGGCCUGGGCUCAGGAGCUGAGCAACCCGACUGGCCAGAUGGAGACUGUGUUGAGCUCUGCCCAAGCCCUGUGAUCCUGGAAAACAGUGAAGUUAAGGAGCCAUCUGCAUUCUAGGGAAUGGCCCACUGCAAAAAAUACCCUUCCUUAUAGGACGUAGAGGACUCAUGAUGUCCCCUCAUUUAUGAUGAGCCAAGACACAGCCCUUCCAAAUUCCAAUUCUUUGCUUCAUAACUGAUUAACUGUUUUGUUCCCACUGGUCAAUCAGAACAACAUUCUCGCUAACCAGAUUUUGGUUCAGCUCUUCUCCCUCCCCAUGUCCCUGCCCCGUGUCCUAUCCUCAUCCUGAGCCAGCACACACCCCUCCUUAGUAGCUCCUCCUGCAGCAGGCUGACCUCAGACUCUCCCUGAUCCAUUGUCCAAAUAUAUCACCCUUUCACCCUACAUCCUUACACCCCAUUCUUUCUAGUUUUGUUCAUUCCUCCCUGUGAAAGAUGAACCCUCUUUGUCUAAUCCCGGACCUGCUUGCAGACUGCUAUGAUGGCCAGAGUGUCCCCCCUACUGCAAGAGUCCCUUCUGUCCCUUGCAACAUCUUUUAAAUAAAAUCUCUCUUUACC